rnacentral:rRNA from 1 species
GACGAACGCUGGCGGCGUGCCUAAUACAUGCAAGUAGAACGCUGAAGAGAGGAGCUUGCUCUUCUUGGAUGAGUUGCGAACGGGUGAGUAACGCGUAGGUAACCUGCCUUGUAGCGGGGGAUAACUAUUGGAAACGAUAGCUAAUACCGCAUAACAAUGGAUGACACAUGUCAUUUAUUUGAAAGGGGCAAUUGCUCCACUACAAGAUGGACCUGCGUUGUAUUAGCUAGUAGGUGAGGUAACGGCUCACCUAGGCGACGAUACAUAGCCGACCUGAGAGGGUGAUCGGCCACACUGGGACUGAGACACGGCCCAGACUCCUACGGGAGGCAGCAGUAGGGAAUCUUCGGCAAUGGGGGCAACCCUGACCGAGCAACGCCGCGUGAGUGAAGAAGGUUUUCGGAUCGUAAAGCUCUGUUGUAAGUCAAGAACGAGUGUGAGAGUGGAAAGUUCACACUGUGACGGUAGCUUACCAGAAAGGGACGGCUAACUACGUGCCAGCAGCCGCGGUAAUACGUAGGUCCCGAGCGUUGUCCGGAUUUAUUGGGCGUAAAGCGAGCGCAGGCGGUUUGAUAAGUCUGAAGUUAAAGGCUGUGGCUCAACCAUAGUUCGCUUUGGAAACUGUCAAACUUGAGUGCAGAAGGGGAGAGUGGAAUUCCAUGUGUAGCGGUGAAAUGCGUAGAUAUAUGGAGGAACACCGGUGGCGAAAGCGGCUCUCUGGUCUGUAACUGACGCUGAGGCUCGAAAGCGUGGGGAGCGAACAGGAUUAGAUACCCUGGUAGUCCACGCCGUAAACGAUGAGUGCUAGGUGUUGGAUCCUUUCCGGGAUUCAGUGCCGCAGCUAACGCAUUAAGCACUCCGCCUGGGGAGUACGACCGCAAGGUUGAAACUCAAAGGAAUUGACGGGGGCCCGCACAAGCGGUGGAGCAUGUGGUUUAAUUCGAAGCAACGCGAAGAACCUUACCAGGUCUUGACAUCCCGAUGCUAUUUCUAGAGAUAGAAAGUUACUUCGGUACAUCGGUGACAGGUGGUGCAUGGUUGUCGUCAACUCGUGUCGUGAGAUGUUGGGUUAAGUCCCGCAACGAGCGCAACCCCUAUUGUUAGUUGCCAUCAUUCAGUUGGGCACUCUAGCGAGACUGCCGGUAAUAAACCGGAGGAAGGUGGGGAUGACGUCAAAUCAUCAUGCCCCUUAUGACCUGGGCUACACACGUGCUACAAUGGUUGGUACAACGAGUUGCGAGUCGGUGACGGCAAGCUAAUCUCUUAAAGCCAAUCUCAGUUCGGAUUGUAGGCUGCAACUCGCCUACAUGAAGUCGGAAUCGCUAGUAAUCGCGGAUCAGCACGCCGCGGUGAAUACGUUCCCGGGCCU